UGCUGGAGGUAUCAGAAGUGCGAAUGCUGACAUAAGUAACGAUAAAGCGGGUGAAAAGCCCGCUCGCCGGAAGACCAAGGGUUCCUGUCCAACGUUAAUCGGGGCAGGGUGAGUCGACCCCUAAGGCGAGGCCGAAAGGCGUAGUCGAUGGGAAACGGGUUAAUAUUCCCGUACUUGGUGUUACUGCGAAGGGGGGACGGAGAAGGCUAUGUUGGCCGGGCGACGGUUGUCCCGGUUUAAGCGUGUAGGUGUGUGUUCCAGGUAAAUCCGGUUCACUUUAACACUGAGGCGUGACGACGAGGCACUACGGUGCUGAAGCAACAAAUGCCCUGCUUCCAGGAAAAGCCUCUAAGCAUCAGGUAACAUCAAAUCGUACCCCAAACCGACACAGGUGGUCAGGUAGAGAAUACCAAGGCGCUUGAGAGAACUCGGGUGAAGGAACUAGGCAAAAUGGUGCCGUAACUUCGGGAGAAGGCACGCUGACACGUAGGUGAAGUGAUUUACUCAUGGAGCUGAAGUCAGUCGAAGAUACCAGCUGGCUGCAACUGUUUAUUAAAAACACAGCACUGUGCAAACACGAAAGUGGACGUAUACGGUGUGACGCCUGCCCGGUGCCGGAAGGUUAAUUGAUGGGGUCAGCGCAAGCGAAGCUCCUGAUCGAAGCCCCGGUAAACGGCGGCCGUAACUAUAACGGUCCUAAGGUAGCGAAAUUCCUUGUCGGGUAAGUUCCGACCUGCACGAAUGGCGUAAUGAUGGCCAGGCUGUCUCCACCCGAGACUCAGUGAAAUUGAACUCGCUGUGAAGAUGCAGUGUACCCGCGGCAAGACGGAAAGACCCCGUGAACCUUUACUAUAGCUUGACACUGAACAUUGAGCCUUGAUGUGUAGGAUAGGUGGGAGGCUUUGAAGUGUGGACGCCAGUCUGCAUGGAGCCGACCUUGAAAUACCACCCUUUAAUGUUUGAUGUUCUAACGUGGACCCGUUACCCGGGUUGCGGACAGUGUCUGGUGGGUAGUUUGACUGGGGCGGUCUCCUCCUAAAGAGUAACGGAGGAGCACGAAGGUUGGCUAAUCCUGGUCGGACAUCAGGAGGUUAGUGCAAUGGCAUAAGCCAGCUUGACUGCGAGCGUGACGGCGCGAGCAGGUGCGAAAGCAGGUCAUAGUGAUCCGGUGGUUCUGAAUGGAAGGGCCAUCGCUCAACGGAUAAAAGGUACUCCGGGGAUAACAGGCUGAUACCGCCCAAGAGUUCAUAUCGACGGCGGUGUUUGGCACCUCGAUGUCGGCUCAUCACAUCCUGGGGCUGAAGUAGGUCCCAAGGGUAUGGCUGUUCGCCAUUUAAAGUGGUACGCGAGCUGGGUUUAGAACGUCGUGAGACAGUUCGGUCCCUAUCUGCCGUGGGCGCUGGAGAACUGAGGGGGGCUGCUCCUAGUACGAGAGGACCGGAGUGGACGCAUCACUGGUGUUCGGGUUGUCAUGCCAAUGGCACUGCCCGGUAGCUAAAUGCGGAAGAGAUAAGUGCUGAAAGCAUCUAAGCACGAAACUUGCCCCGAGAUGAGUUCUCCCUGAGACUUAGAGUCUCCUGAAGGAACGUUGAAGACGACGACGUUGAUAGGCCGGGUGUGUAAGCGCAGCGAUGCGUUGAGCUAACCGGUACUAAUGAACCGUGAGGCUUAACCUU
rnacentral:rRNA from 16 species